GAGCUGAGGUUUUGGCUUAAGAGGGUUUGGCAUGAAGAGGCGGAGUAAGUGAGCGGAGGCUAAGGGUAUUUCUUAGAUAGCCAAAAUUCAUGCCACUUCAAGGGAACAAAGUUUGGAAGACAACCGAUUGAAUCCUACUUACUUCAGUCAGAGUAAAAGCCAAACAUCAAGCUGAUGUCCUGCCUCAAAGGGGAAGGGUCGAUUUCUUCUUGGAAGAUGUAACAGGCUUGGAUCAGAGUCACAUUUAGGAUGUGGAUCAGUUUGUGCCAGUUGUCUAGACAGUUGGGGGGCAUGAAGAUAUCUCCAUGGGUCCACCAGUGGUGAUCAGGAGCAUUCUGGCUCUUGGGCUGUGCAAACAGAUUCAAAGCUUUCAAAAUGACUCUUGGUAAAUGCUUGAAAAA